rnacentral:misc_RNA from 1 species
AACGCAAAUUGCGCUCGAGGCCUUGGCCAAGAGCAUGUCUGCCUCAGCGUCGGCUUUACAUCCUCGCCCUCAAACAAUUGUUUGAUGGGUGGAACUGGUCGUCUCAGUCUCCGACUGGGUCGGUCGAAACGCAGAGGCUAAGCCGGACCUUUCAAAGGCAAUAACUUGGUAGGUGGCAAUGCCGCAUGCCGUUGUUGCUCGGGUCUGGUGAGGCCAGCCGGAAUCGGCUUCGCCGAUCCAACUUUAGACUUUCGACCUGAGUUUAGGCAAGAGCACCCGCUGAACUUAA